GCCCCCCGAAUUGUGGUCUAGAAAGGCGCCAUCGGCCGCGCGCGUCGCCCAAAUCCCUUGGAACAGGGUAUCGGAGAAGGUGAGAAUCCUGUGCCGUGGCGCGUUGCGGCCUCACGAUGCGUCCUUGUCGAGUCGGGUUGCUUGGGAUUGCAGCUUGAAGUGGGUGGUAAAUUCCAUCUAAAGCUAAAUACUGGCGAGAGACCGAUAGCGAACAAGUACCGUGAGGGAAAGAUGCAAAGAACUUUGAAAAGAGAGUCAAAGAGUGCUUGAAAUUGGCAGGAGGAAACCCGGUUGCACCCGGUGUCGGCGCGUCGACUCAGCCGUCUGUGCAUGCCUGUGGUGACUUUGGCACCUUUGGCGGUGCUCGGACGGUGCACUUUGACGCGCCGGGUCAGCCGCGGCCCGUCGGGCGUGAGAUGUCCACUCGCGAGGCUUCGGCGAGCGUGUGGGGGCGGCGCGCGGCGAGCGUCGGCUGACGGAACGGGUGCCACCGACCCGUCUAGAAACACGGACCAAGGAGUCUGACACGUGUGCGAGUACCCGGGUUGGCAAGCCCGCGUGCGGAAUGAAAGUGAAGGGCAUGCCCUGACAACCGACCUUGACCUUCUGCGAAGGGUUUGAGUGGAGCACAUGUGUCGGGACCCGAAAGAUGGUGAACUAUGCCUGAGGAGGGUGAAGCCAGAGGAAACUCUGGUGGAGGCUCGUAGCGAUACUGACGUGCAAAUCGUUCGUCGAAUCUUGGGUAUAGGGGCGAAAGACUAAUCGAACCAUCUAGUAGCUGGUUCCCUCCGAAGUUUCCCUCAGGAUAGCUUGAGCGCAGCGUACGGUUUUGU
rnacentral:rRNA from 1 species